rnacentral:rRNA from 1 species
GAUGAACGCUAGCGGCAGGCCUAAUACAUGCGAGUCGAACGGUGUCUUCGGACAUAGUGGCGCACGGGUGCGUAACACGUAUGCAACCUACCUUACAUUGGGGGAUAGCCUUUCGAAAGGGAGAUUAAUACCGCAUAAGACAGUAGCUGGGCAUCCAGCAGCUGUUAAAGAUUUAUCGAUGUAAGCUGGGCAUGCGUCCAAUUAGCUAGUUGGUGAGGUAACGGCUCACCAAGGCAAUGAUUGGUAGGGGAACUGAGAGGUCAAUCCCCCACACGGGCACCGAGAUACGGGCCAGACUCCUACGGGAGGCAGCAGUAGGGAAUAUUGGGCAAUGGACGCAAGUCUGACCCAGCCAUGCCGCGUGCAGGAUGAAGGCGUUAUGCGUUGUAAACUGCUUUUAUACAGGAAGAAACGACUCUUGCGAGAGGCAUUGACGGUACUGUAUGAAUAAGCACCGGCUAACUCCGUGCCAGCCGCCGCGGUAAUAC